GCUGUGGCUCAGCAGCAGAGCAUCUGGUUGGCAUGCAGAAGGUGCCAGGUUCAAUCCCGGGCAUCUCCA
rnacentral:tRNA from 1 species